rnacentral:rRNA from 1 species
UACGGAGGAUCCGAGCGUUAUCCGGAUUCAUUGGGUUUAAAGGGUGCGUAGGCGGGCUAUUAAGUCAGUGGUGAAAUCCUGCAGCUUAACUGCAGAACUGCCGUUGAUACUGAUAGUCUUGAGUUUGGUUAAGGUAGGCGGAAUGUGUAAUGUAGCGGUGAAAUGCUUAGAUAUUACACAGAACACCAAUUGCGUAGGCAGCUUACUGAGCCGACACUGACGCUGAGGCACGAAAGCGUGGGGAUCAAACAGGAUUA